rnacentral:rRNA from 1 species
GACGAACGCUGGCGGCGUGCUUAACACAUGCAAGUCGAGCGGUAAGGCCCUUUCGGGGGUACACGAGCGGCGAACGGGUGAGUAACACGUGGGUGACCUGCCCUCAGCUCUGGGAUAAGCCUGGGAAACCGGGUCUAAUACCGGAUAUGACUCCAUGACGCAUGUUGUGGGGUGGAAAGCCUUGUGCGGUUGAGGAUGGGCCCGCGGCCUAUCAGCUUGUUGGUGGGGUGAUGGCCACCAAGGCGACGACGGGUAGCCGGCCUGAGAGGGCGACCGGCCACACUGGGACUGAGACACGGCCCAGACUCCUACGGGAGGCAGCAGUGGGGAAUCUUGCGCAAUGGGCGAAAGCCUGACGCAGCGACGCCGCGUGAGGGAUGACGGCCU